rnacentral:tRNA from 1 species
GGGUCGGUGGUGUAGUUGGUUAUCGCAUCUGUCUAACAUGGUUUGAUGGUAUGAAUAUUAUAUUACACAGAAGGUCUUCAGUUCGAACCUGGGCCGACUCA